rnacentral:rRNA from 1 species
UACGGAGGGUGCAAGCGUUUUUCGGAUUCAUUGGGCGUAAAGCGAGUGUAGGCGGUUUGACAAGUCGGAUGUGAAAUCCCGGGGCCCAACCCCGGAACUGCACCCGAUACUGUCUGGCUAGAGUCCCGGAGAGGGUGGCGGAAUUCCCGGUGUAGGGGUGAAAUCCGUAGAUAUCGGGAGGAACACCAGUGGCGAAGGCGGCCACCUGGACGGUGACUGACGCUGAGACUCGAAAGCGUGGGUAGCAAACAGG